AGAAACCAGGUAGUUAUUAACCACUGCAGCAUCUGUCUCCCAUAAUCUUUAGAAUUCCACAUAACCGGCUUUUCCCUUUGUAAGUGAUGGCCCCAGGGAAUGGUAACAAAUGCCAUUUAGCGAACGCUGCCAGCACUACUCUCUGUCCGGUCCUCUGGGCCUUUUUAAUGGGCUUAUUGGUUUCUCCUAGUGGCAGCUCUUUCAGGAAGGAACCCCCACCGUGCCUAUUUGACUUGCCAGGGAGUGCUCCAAGAGGUCCUGAAGACCAAGGAUGAAUGAUGAGGAGGAGGUUCUCCAAUACUUACUGGUAUAUCUAAAUUAGCUCCGGCAUCUAUAAGCAUUUGGACCAUUGCUUCAUCUCCAGCAGCACAGGCAUACAUCAGUGGGGUCAUACCCUUCAGGAAGAGAAGAAAAGUUACAUUUCUGUACCUGUCUGCAGCAAAUCUGUCACGGACACAGAGUUUGAAUUGAAAAUCAGUGCCUUGAAUGAUGCCCCAGAGAGCAGACUCUGCUGUUACUUGAUGGGACUGACAGCACAAACAGAAGCAGCUGAAGACUUCCCAGAGUAACAAGUGCCUACGCUUAAAUGGAGCUGAGCAGGGAAUAGGUAAAAAUAAAGCACGAUGAGCUUUCAGCAAAGCUAAUACCAACUGAUAGCAGUGCCACUGGGAUUCUCUGUGCUGUUUCCUAUACCAGACUGCACUGCGAACAGACAGUUCACUUCAAACAGGCAACCUGAGAGCCCUCAGACAACACCUUUUGGUCGCUCAUCACUGACCCAGAUAGGAUUUUGGCUGUUAAACCAGAAGAGAGCGGCACUGGCAAAAACCACUUUGUUUUGACAUUGUCUUAACAUUAAGGCAACAUCAGACUUUGCAUUUGCAGCCAGCGUAUUAACCUGUCUUCUGUCAGUGCCUGAGACAGACCAUCCAAGCAGCAGACCUGCAUUCCAGCUGAUAAAGAAACAAUUCACUUUAGGCUCUGACUGGCUUUUGAGGGUUGCAUGAGAGGGGGGUUUCUAUUUUUGUUUUGUUUUAAGAGAUGAGUUUUCCAUACUAAAACAUCAGCUAGACUUAGAGAAGUUUUGGAGAGGCAACUAACGCUUAAGACCUACGCAGAAAGGAACGCACAAUUUGAUGCAAGCCUUUUGUGUGUGUAUGGCUA